rnacentral:rRNA from 1 species
GAUGAACGCUGGCGGCGUGCCUAAUACAUGCAAGUCGAGCGAACAGACGAGGAGUUUGCUCCUCUGACGUUUGCCGCGCACGGGAGUGUAACACGUGUAUCACCUACCUAUCAUUCUGGGAUCACUUCGGGAAUCCGGCUCUAAUACCGGAUAAUAUAUUGAACCGCAUGGUUCGUUAGUAAAAUACGGUGUUUCUGUCACUUAUAGAUGGAUCCGCGCCGCAUGAGCUAGUUGGGAAGGUAACGGCUUACCACGGCGACGAUGCGUAGACGACGGCCGGGGGUGGUCGCCGACACGGGAGGUGGGACGGGGUCCAGACGCCUGCGGGAGGCAGCAGAAGGGAAUCUGCCGCAAUGGGCGAAAGCCUGGCGGAGCAGCGCCGAGUGAGAGAUGAAAGUCUUCGGAUCGUGAAACUCUGUUAUUAGGUAAGAACAAAUGUGUAAGUAACUAUGCACGUCUUGACGGUACCUAAUCAGAAAGCCACGGCUAACUACGUG